rnacentral:rRNA from 1 species
GUGGGGAAUCUUGCGCAAUGGGCGAAAGCCUGAUCCAGCCAUGCCGCGUGUGUGAAGAAGGUCUUCGGAUUGUAAAGCACUUUAAGUUGGGAGGAAGGGCAGUAAGUUAAUACCUUGCUGUUUUGACGUUACCGACAGAAUAAGCACCGGCUAACUUCGUGCCAGCAGCCGCGGUAAUACGAAGGGUGCAAGCGUUAAUCGGAAUUACUGGGCGUAAAGCGCGCGUAGGUGGUUUUGUAAGUUGGAGGUGAAAUCCCCGGGCUCAACCUGGGAACUGCCUCCAAAACUGCAUGACUAGAGUACGGUAGAGGGUAGUGGAAUUUCCUGUGUAGCGGUGAAAUGCGUAGAUAUAGGAAGGAACACCAGUGGCGAAGGCGACUACCUGGACUGAUACUGACACUGAGGUGCGAAAGCGUGGGGAGCAAACAGGAUUAGAAACCCGGGUAGUCC